ensembl:lncRNA
CCUUUGACGUUGCUCAGUGACAAGGAGCGCUCCUGGUCCGCCAGCCCAGGCCCCAGCCGGCCACUGCCACCACUGUCCUUCUGCCGGGCCACGGCCACUGCGAUGCCCACGGGCGGGUGUCGCACCUCUGCUUCGCCCUGGGCUCCAGAGCCCUCGCGCCCGAAGGCCUUGGCGCUCUCGGGCCUCUCCGGGUCCCGCUUCAGCUGCCGGCCCCCGGUCCCCGUGGGGCCGCCGGGGUGGGGGAGGCGGGCCUGAGCGCGCGGGGCGCCCGCGGCCGUGGGGACGGGCUCGGGUUUCAUGGUGCCCAGGCCUCCGAAGGGACUCUUCUUGCCACAGCCGCCAGGGCGCACGGCCACGGCCUCGCGCGCAAAGCUGCCGCUGUACUUGAUGAGGCUCUGCAUGGCCGACGCCUCUCCGGGCCCGUGCGCCGCAGGGUGCAGCUCGGCGCCCGGCCUGGCGCAGGUGGCCGCAGCGCGGGGCAGCGUGGCCCCGGGGUCCAGGUAGGCCUUCUUGGCGGCGGCGGCGGCCUCCUCCUCUGCGCGGCUGGCGUGGUGGUGCUGUGCGGCCAGCACGGCCAUCUGCGUGGUGGCGAAGUUGCCCAGCUCGAAAGGUUUCCACUUGGGUUCAGGCGCGGCGGGCGGGGGCGGUCGCCCGGGCUCCAGGCCGAAGAGCUUGGCGGCCUGCUGGGAGGCGGUGGCGGCGGGGGGGCCGCGCGGGACACGCUCGCAGGGCCGCGGCUCGGCCUCGGGCUUGAGCAGCUCCUUGGCGGGGAGGUAGGCCCGGGGGUCGGGGGAGGAGGCGCGCGCGGCCCGUGCCGGCGGGGCCUCGGCGGGCUGCGGCCGCUUGAGCGAGCGGAUCACCGAGCUCUUCUCGGGCCGUUCCGGGGGUGGCCGCGGGGACCCGGGUGGCGCCUGCAGGACGCCGGGCCUGGCCACCUCGCGCUCCCGGGCGCGGGCAUCGCGUGCCUGCGACGCGAUCUGGAUGGGCCCAGGGCGCUCGUCGAAGGCCUCCACGGAAGGCACGAAGGUGGGCGCCACCACGCGAUGCUCGCGGCCCGGCUCGCGCGCCGCCGCCGUGGGGAAGAUGGUGUAGACGCCGGCGGACGCGGGCUGCGGCGCGGCGAAGGGAAGGCCGGCUGCGGGGGGGGGGGCGCGGGAGGGGCCCUUGCCGGGGGGCGGCGGGGGCGGGGGCGGCAGCGGCGAGGGGCACGGGCACGGCCCGGGCAGCAGGGCCUCCGCGCGCCGCGAAGCCGCGCGCUCUCGUCCUGGCGCGCCGCCUCCUUGGCCACCAAGCGCGGGGAGCCCCGCGUCGGCCGCCCCCGUUGCAGAGGCUCAGCGCCGGCGGCGGCGGCAGCAGGUUCUUGCCCUUGGACUCAGCGGGGCCUGUGCCCGGCGCCCGCGGUGGCCCCGGCUCGGCCAGGAAGGGCGACAGGCGCUCGGCGAGGCGCGGGGGCCCGCGGUCCUGGCGGCCCUCGGCGCGCGCCUCCUGGGUCAGGUCCACCACACCGCGGCGGCCGGCCCGCGUCCUCGCGGGCCCGCGGGUCCUUCUUGCCGAACAGCGGGGGCGGCUCCCCGCCGCGGCCCGCGCGCUCCUUGGCUGCACCUUCCCUCGACGAGCCUUUGGCUUGGGUGCCGGAGGAGUGGCCGCCCGGGGUCCUGGAGGAGGGCGCGUGGGAGUGCAGGGCGCCCGCAGCCCCCGGGCCGGGCAGGUAGAAGCCGUC